rnacentral:rRNA from 1 species
UACAGAGGGGGCAAGCGUUUGUUCGGAAUUACUGGGCGUAAAGGGCGCGUAGGCGGCCUGUUAAGUCGAACGUGAAAUCCCCGGGCUCAACCCGGGAACUGCGUCCGAUACUGGCAGGCUUGAAUUCGGGAGAGGGAUGCGGAAUUCCAGGUGUAGCGGUGAAAUGCGUAGAUAUCUGGAGGAACACCGGUGGCGAAGGCGGCAUCCUGGACCGAGAUUGACGCUGAGGCGCGAAAGCCAGGGGAGCAAACGGGG